CGGGCAGCGGGCUUAUAUAAGCCGGGGUCUGUGCCCACCGCGCGCACAGCCUGACUCCACUUUGAGUGACAUCCCCAGCAGUGCGUUUUCCUGAGUGUCGAUUGCCGUCUUAUUGUUCAGCUACAUACACCACAACGGCUCUUUUAAGAGCCACAUCUUGAGAACGUCUUUGACUUUCAGCUACAUACACCACAACGGCUCUUUUAAGAGCCACAUCUUGAGAACGUCUUUGACUUUGUAAGUAUAUAUUUUAAAUGACCACCCAGUAUUUGGGUUUAGAUCAAUUACAACAACAUCAUGCAG